UCAAACAAUUACGGUGAUGGAAAAUAACGAAAAAAGUGAAAGAAAAUCAGAAGACACUUUUUGAAAUUCCAGGGGAUGCGGGAGGAAUUAGGAGAAAGGAAGGGAUUGGGAUGCAGAACAUUCACAUCACAUUCCAAUGUGAACAUCAUCACAAUUAACGCCAACUUCAUUUUGUGCAAGAAAAAAGGUGGUCGGAUAGGAGGAGGGAGCAGGGGGCGAAAGCCCCCCUGGAGAUGAUCAGCUGAGCAAGUAGGGGUGUGAUAAUCCCCCAGUAUUAGAAUAUUCAAGUGUCUUUGGCGUCUUGCCCAAGAAAUUCCACCAUUUUGAAUCAUCAAAUUUGUCCAAUAAUUUGCGAAAAAUAACGGAAAUUCGAGGGAGAAUUUUAUUUUCCAUUUCUUUGAGUAUUCAGAAAGAUUUAAAAUUCAUAAGUCUAUAAGAAUAUUAUAAAUAUAAAAUCUGCAAGUCAUAAACGGAAGUAUAUUGCCCCUAAAAAUAGAAGAUCAUUGAUUUAAGGUUGUUGUACCAAGAGCGACAGUGGCAAAAUUUUUCAGGUUGCGCCCGAGGAUCCCGCUGAACUAAGGCUUGGAUUAAAUCACAAACUUUUACCGAAGUACAGUCCAACGUGCCUCACACACACGAGUAUAUGCAUUAAUACGUGCGCAUGCAACUAACGGGGAACGGUGUUGAUCUCUCUCUCUCUCUUCUCUUCAAGACGUAUAUCCGAACCUGGAAGACCUCGCACUUGAGGUGGUUGAAUUUUUUCAAAAUAAUUAGGAAAACGUCAAGUGGAUUGAAGCACAGGGGACGAUUUAUUUAUUUAUUUAAUAUCAGCGGGACGAGCUGUAGCUGGGCUGUUGCCCCGUCAGGAGUAUGAAUUUACUUGCGCCGCCCACUUUGGAAGAAAACCCGACUUUCUCAAAUUAUUAUUCAGGGAAUAACACAAACAGCCCAACACGUGGACCAACUCAAUAGACAGAAGGGCCUUGUUUUUGGGGCAGAUCUCACACCCUGGACGAACCGAGGGCUGAGAAUGCUCUCGAGUAAACCACAUCGGAUUAACACCCUAAAUGAUAAGAUCACUUCGAGGGGCCAGGGGGGGGGAGAGGAUAUGACACAGAAGACAACUCUAGAAGGACUUUUCCUGGAGCACGUACUGGGGAAUGGCAACAUGUGGAGGCGAGUGAGAUAUUUGGGGGAAAAUGGAGAGAAAAAAAAAAACUUAAGUAGCACUGGGCAAUAUUCUCCUGUAUUUUCUCGUCAUCAGGGCUGAGGAGAUCCUUAAUGAGGUAUCUUUUUAUUUUCUCUCGCCAACUGCGAUUCCUACCCAAUUAAAUGGGCUCUUCCUCACUCUCUGGCUUCUUCGUGCUCGAAGUACCCAGGGGGAGGGGGAUCUCAAAUAUUAUCAUUUGCGGUAUCAACGCUAUUAUGUAUUUCAUCAGUUUUUGGGAUUGCGCUUGCGACGCAGUGGUGAG